UCUCCGUAGGUGAACCUGCGGAGGGAUCAUUACAGAGUUCUCGCCCUCGCGGGUAGAUCUCCCACCCACUGUAAUCGUUACUGUGUUGCUUUGGCGGGCCGCCGGGCCCCGCUCGGCCGCCGGCUCCGGCUGGCGCGCGCCCGCCAGAGGCCCAGCAAACUCUGAAUGUUAGUGUCGUCUGAGUACUAUAUAAUAGUUAAAACUUUCAACAACGGAUCUCUUGGUUCUG
rnacentral:misc_RNA from 1 species